UACGUAGGGAGCAAGCGUUGUUCGGAAUUACUGGGCGUAAAGGGCUCGUAGGUGGCCAACUAAGUCAGGCGUGAAAUCCCUCGGCUUAACCGGGGAACUGCGUCUGAUACUGGAUGGCUUGAGUUUGGGAGAGGGAUGCGGAAUUCCAGGUGUAGCGGUGAAAUGCGUAGAUAUCUGGAGGAACACCGGUGGCGAAGGCGGCAUCCUGGACCAACACUGACACUGAGGAGCGAAAGCCAGGGGAGCAAACGGG
rnacentral:rRNA from 1 species